UACGUAGGGAGCAAGCGUUGUUCGGAUUUACUGGGCGUAAAGGGCGCGUAGGCGGCUUGUCAAGUCGAUUGUGAAAUCUCCGGGCUUAACUCGGAACGGCCAAUCGAUACUGACGUGCUAGAGUGCAGAAAGGGCAAUCGGAAUUCUUGGUGUAGCGGUGAAAUGCGUAGAUAUCAAGAGGAACCCCUGAGGCGAAGGCGGGUUGCUAGGCUGACACUGACGCUGAGUGCGCGAAAGCCAGGGGAGCAAACGGG
rnacentral:rRNA from 1 species